UGGUGGGUUAAAGCCUACCAAGGCGACGAUCGUAGCCAUCGAGAGAAUGAUCGCCACACUGGACUGAGAACACGCCCAGACUCCUACGGGAGGCAGCAGUGGGGAAUAUGACAUGGCCGAAGCCUGAUCCAGCCAUGCCGCGUGUGUGAAGAAGGCCUUUUGGUUGUAAAGCACUUUAGCGAGGAGGAGGCUACUAGUACUAAUACUACUGGAUAGUGGACGUUACUCGCAGAAUAAGCACCGGCUAACUCUGUGCCAGCAGCCGCGGUAAUACAGAGGGUGCGAGCGUUAAUCGGAUUUACUGGGCGUAAAGCGUGCGUAGGCGGCUUUUUAAGUCGGAUGUGAAAUCCCCGAGCUUAACUUGGGAAUUGCAUUCGAUACUGGGAAGCUAGAGUAUGGGAGAGGAUGGUAGAAUUCCAGGUGUAGCGGUGAAAUGCGUAGAGAUCUGGAGGAAUACCGAUGGCGAAGGCAGCCAUCUGGCCUAAUACUGACGCUGAGGUACGAAAGCAUGGGGAGCAAACAGGAUUAGAUACCCUGGUAGUCCAUGCCGUAAACGAUGUCUACUAGCCGUUGGGGCCUUUGAGGCUUUAGUGGCGCAGCUAACGCGAUAAGUAGACCGCCUGGGGAGUACGGUCGCAAGACUAAAACUCAAAUGAAUUGACGGGGGCCCGCACAAGCGGUGGAGCAUGUGGUUUAAUUCGAUGCAACGCGAAGAACCUUACCUGGUCUUGACAUAGUAAGAACUUUCCAGAGAUGGAUUGGUGCCUUCGGGAACUUACAUACAGGUGCUGCAUGGCUGUCGUCAGCUCGUGUCGUGAGAUGUUGGGUUAAGUCCCGCAACGAGCGCAACCCUUUUCCUUAUUUGCCAGCGGGUUAAGCCGGGAACUUUAAGGAUACUGCCAGUGACAAACUGGAGGAAGGCGGGGACGACGUCAAGUCAUCAUGGCCCUUACGACCAGGGCUACACACGUGCUACAAUGGUCGGUACAAAGGGUUGCUACCUAGCGAUAGGAUGCUAAUCUCAAAAAGCCGAUCGUAGUCCGGAUUGGAGUCUGCAACUCGACUCCAUGAAGUCGGAAUCGCUAGUAAUCGCGGAUCAGAAUGCCGCGGUGAAUACGUUCCCGGGCCUUGUACACACCGCCCGUCACACCAUGGGAGUUUGUUGCACCAGAAGUAGGUAGUCUAACCGUAAGGAGGACGCUACCACGGUUCUAGGGAUCACA
rnacentral:rRNA from 1 species